rnacentral:rRNA from 1 species
AUGCCAUCCCAUCUUUCGACCAUGCCCGUCAUCCGCCACAACCGUGUCAGGAUGGGACUCCACCUGCUUUCACGCGCGCGGACGAAGGACACCCUGCUCUGGCUCCGAUCGGUGAUCGACUCUGGGGUUCAGGAGCAGCAGCAGCCGGACGACGCCACAACGAGCAGCGAUGCCAGCAGCGCAACAACGGCGGACCCGGCAGAGUGGAGUCGUGUCCGGCGAGAAGCGGGCUCAGCGGGGCGCCACGCUGUGCGGCCAUGUCAGAUGAUUCCAUGGAUUUCCACAGGGAAGGAACCAGGAGGAGAGGACUCUUAA